rnacentral:rRNA from 1 species
UUAAGCGACUAAGCGUACACGGUGGAUGCCCUGGCAGUCAGAGGCGAUGAAGGACGUGCUAAUCUGCGAUAAGCGUCGGUGAGGUGAUAUGAACCGUUAUAACCGGCGAUUUCCGAAUGGGGAAACCCAGUGUGAUUCGUCACACUAUCAUUAACUGAAUCCAUAGGUUAAUGAGGCGAACCGGGGGAACUGAAACAUCUAAGUACCCCGAGGAAAAGAAAUCAACCGAGAUUCCCCCAGUAGCGGCGAGCGAACGGGGAGGAGCCCAGAGCCUGAAUCAGUGUGUGUGUUAGUGGAAGCGUCUGGAAAGGCGUGCGAUACAGGGUGACAGCCCCGUACACAAAAAUGCACAUAUUGUGAGCUCGAUGAGUAGGGCGGGACACGUGGUAUCCUGUCUGAAUAUGGGGGGACCAUCCUCCAAGGCUAAAUACUCCUGACUGACCGAUAGUGAACCAGUACCGUGAGGGAAAGGCGAAAAGAACCCCGGCGAGGGGAGUGAAAAAGAACCUGAAACCGUGUACGUACAAGCAGUGGGAGCCUCUUAAUGGGGUGACUGCGUACCUUUUGUAUAAUGGGUCAGCGACUUAUAUUCUGUAGCAAGGUUAACCGAAUAGGGGAGCCGAAGGGAAACCGAGUCUUAACUGGGCGUUAAGUUGCAGGGUAUAGACCCGAAACCCGGUGAUCUAGCCAUGGGCAGGUUGAAGGUUGGGUAACACUAACUGGAGGACCGAACCGACUAAUGUUGAAAAAUUAGCGGAUGACUUGUGGCUGGGGGUGAAAGGCCAAUCAAACCGGGAGAUAGCUGGUUCUCCCCGAAAGCUAUUUAGGUAGCGCCUCGUGAAUUCAUCUCCGGGGGUAGAGCACUGUUUCGGCAAGGGGGUCAUCCCGACUUACCAACCCGAUGCAAACUGCGAAUACCGGAGAAUGUUAUCACGGGAGACACACGGCGGGUGCUAACGUCCGUCGUGAAGAGGGAAACAACCCAGACCGCCAGCUAAGGUCCCAAAGUCAUGGUUAAGUGGGAAACGAUGUGGGAAGGCCCAGACAGCCAGGAUGUUGGCUUAGAAGCAGCCAUCAUUUAAAGAAAGCGUAAUAGCUCACUGGUCGAGUCGGCCUGCGCGGAAGAUGUAACGGGGCUAAACCAUGCACCGAAGCUGCGGCAGCGACACUAUGUGUUGUUGGGUAGGGGAGCGUUCUGUAAGCCUGUGAAGGUGGCCUGUGAGGGUUGCUGGAGGUAUCAGAAGUGCGAAUGCUGACAUAAGUAACGAUAAAGCGGGUGAAAAGCCCGCUCGCCGGAAGACCAAGGGUUCCUGUCCAACGUUAAUCGGGGCAGGGUGAGUCGACCCCUAAGGCGAGGCCGAAAGGCGUAGUCGAUGGGAAACAGGUUAAUAUUCCUGUACUUGGUGUUACUGCGAAGGGGGGACGGAGAAGGCUAUGUUGGCCGGGCGACGGUUGUCCCGGUUUAAGCGUGUAGGCUGGUUUUCCAGGCAAAUCCGGAAAACCAAGGCUGAGGCGUGAUGACGAGGCACUACGGUGCUGAAGCGACAAAUGCCCUGCUUCCAGGAAAAGCCUCUAAGCAUCAGGUAACAUCAAAUCGUACCCCAAACCGACACAGGUGGUCAGGUAGAGAAUACCAAGGCGCUUGAGAGAACUCGGGUGAAGGAACUAGGCAAAAUGGUGCCGUAACUUCGGGAGAAGGCACGCUGAUAUGUAGGUGAAGCGACUUGCUCGUGGAGCUGAAAUCAGUCGAAGAUACCAGCUGGCUGCAACUGUUUAUUAAAAACACAGCACUGUGCAAACACGAAAGUGGACGUAUACGGUGUGACGCCUGCCCGGUGCCGGAAGGUUAAUUGAUGGGGUUAGCGGCAACGCGAAGCUCUUGAUCGAAGCCCCGGUAAACGGCGGCCGUAACUAUAACGGUCCUAAGGUAGCGAAAUUCCUUGUCGGGUAAGUUCCGACCUGCACGAAUGGCGUAAUGAUGGCCAGGCUGUCUCCACCCGAGACUCAGUGAAAUUGAACUCGCUGUGAAGAUGCAGUGUACCCGCGGCAAGACGGAAAGACCCCGUGAACCUUUACUAUAGCUUGAUACUGAACAUUGAGCCUUGAUGUGUAGGAUAGGUGGGAGGCUUUGAAGUGUGGACGCCAGUCUGCAUGGAGCCGGCCUUGAAAUACCACCCUUUAAUGUUUGAUGUUCUAACGUGGGCCCCUUACCGGGGUUGCGGACAGUGUCUGGUGGGUAGUUUGACUGGGGCGGUCUCCUCCUAAAGAGUAACGGAGGAGCACGAAGGUUGGCUAAUCCUGGUCGGACAUCAGGAGGUUAGUGCAAUGGCAUAAGCCAGCUUGACUGCGAGCGUGACGGCGCGAGCAGGUGCGAAAGCAGGUCAUAGUGAUCCGGUGGUUCUGAAUGGAAGGGCCAUCGCUCAACGGAUAAAAGGUACUCCGGGGAUAACAGGCUGAUACCGCCCAAGAGUUCAUAUCGACGGCGGUGUUUGGCACCUCGAUGUCGGCUCAUCACAUCCUGGGGCUGAAGUAGGUCCCAAGGGUAUGGCUGUUCGCCAUUUAAAGUGGUACGCGAGCUGGGUUUAGAACGUCGUGAGACAGUUCGGUCCCUAUCUGCCGUGGGCGCUGGAGAACUGAGGGGGGCUGCUCCUAGUACGAGAGGACCGGAGUGGACGCAUCACUGGUGUUCGGGUUGUCAUGCCAAUGGCACUGCCCGGUAGCUAAAUGCGGAAGAGAUAAGUGCUGAAAGCAUCUAAGCACGAAACUUGCCCCGAGAUGAGUUCUCCCUGACCCUUUAAGGGUCCUGAAGGAACGUUGAAGACGACGACGUUGAUAGGCCGGGUGUGUAAGCGCAGCGAUGCGUUGAGCUAACCGGUACUAAUGAACCGUGAGGCUUAACCUU